CAUGUAUUCACAACCAUCGAUCUUUUUCCCACGAUAUCCUCAAAACUGAACCUAUACAAUCUGUAGAAAUUGAUGAUUAUUUGAGGAAAUCGCAAACAUCAAUAAUUAGAAAUCCAAUAUAUUAUCAAUCCUUAUCAUAUUUUUGGGUGAUUCUGGAAAAACAAGAAUUGGUUUGUUGCAGGUUCGGGGAGUUUUGCGGUUUUAGGGGUUUUUAGCCAUCGCCUAGAUCAUCAAAAGUCACGAGAACUGCUACUUUGAUGUGCUAUGUACCCAACCUUAAGGCUACACCUACUUAAACAACCCAAUAUAAGACAGGUAUGGAGGGGUUUGGGUUGGAGGCAUUGCUCGACAUAUGGCGAGGGUGGGAUCCACAAGGGCUGAUGUCUGAAAGAUUUGGGCUACUAGCUGUAAUUGGAACAUAUGUGAAGGAAAAUAGUAUUAAGGUUCAGUUGGAAACUGGUAUAUAACUCACCAUUUAAAUUCAUUCUUAGUGUUGGAAAUAUAUAUUUUUAUGUUCUUUUGCAAUGGGUUAAUUUAACAAAUGUUUACUUUUUAUUUAUGUUCUGUUUGAGUUUUUCAAAUGUAGUAGUCUAAUGAUUUUCAAAUACCGUUGAUUAGUGGACUACAUGCUUUGAAAGCUAAAAUUUUCGAGUUUAAGAUUGUUGCUCAAAUGGAAAAGGUUAUUAAUGACGAUGAUUAAUAGGUUGGAAGGGAGUUAAUGAUCUAUUUUGUCAUUUAAGAAAGGACAAUGACAUCAUCCUAUUACCCUAGAGUCCCGGGUUUGAUUUUCCAUUUAAAUAAGUGGUUAUAAAGAAAAAGGCCUAUUAUCUUAAUUUAUAUAUUUUGACUUAAUUUUGGUUUUUGUAGAAGUCAUUGGAUGUUGGCAAUACUAAACAUUUAAACAACUACUUGCUAUUAUCAUGAUUCCUUAAGGCUUAGCAAUGACAAUCAGCAGUCGAGGCAAAUUAUUGAUAUGGAAAUGGUGCCACCAUAAGGGUUAAACUCAACUGGGUCAAGUCUAAGUGUCCAUGUUAGCCGGGAAGUACUGAAUGUGGCUAUUAUGUGAGGAAGUUCAUGAAGGAGAUAGCUUAUGAAGGAGUUGAAAUACUUGACAAUGACAAUUUGUUGUCUCAGGUUGUGGAAGGAGUAGAGGAAUACUCAAAUGCGGAUGACAUUCGCGAAGAUUGGUUGACUUCUGCGGUUACUUCUAUUUUUAAGUGACAACCGGAUUUUAGGCGUUGACGAAUGUAUCGACAAACAAUUCCUUUUUUGUUUACGUUAAAAUAUUUGUAGUAUAUUAGACAAAAGAUUAUGUAAUGAGUUGUUUUGGUAUA